rnacentral:rRNA from 1 species
AGAGUUUGAUCCUGGCUCAGGAUGAACGCUAGCGGCAGGCUUAACACAUGCAAGUCGAGGGGCAGCACGGGUAGCAAUACUUGGUGGCGACCGGCGCACGGGUGAGUAUCGCGUAUGCAACCUACCUUUAACUGGAACAUAGCCCGGCGAAAGUCGGAUUAAUUUUCCAUAACAUCAUGAGAGGGCAUCUGAUUAUGAUUAAAGCUCCGGCGGUUAAAGAUGGGCAUGCGUGUCAUUAGCUUGUUGGUAAGGUAACGGCUUACCAAGGCUACGAUGACUAGGGGGUCUGAGAGGAUGAUCCCCCACACUGGUACUGAGACACGGACCAGACUCCUACGGGAGGCAGCAGUGAGGAAUAUUGGUCAAUGGGCGCAAGCCUGAACCAGCCAUGCCGCGUGAAGGAUGAAGGCCCUAUGGGUUGUAAACUUCUUUUGUACGGGACGAAACUAUGUUACGUGUAAUGUACUGACGGUACCGUAUGAAUAAGCAACGGCUAACUCCGUGCCAGCAGCCGCGGUAAUACGGAGGUUGCAAGCGUUAUCCGGAUUUAUUGGGUUUAAAGGGUGCGUAGGCGGAAUGAUAAGUCAGUGGUGAAAGCCUGCAGCUUAACUGUAGAAUUGCCAUUGAUACUGUCGUCCUUGAGUCUAGUUGAGGUGGGCGGAAUGUGUAAUGUAGCGGUGAAAUGCUUAGAGAUUACACAGAACACCAAUUGCGUAGGCAGCUCACUAAACUAUAACUGACGCUGAGGCACGAAAGCGUGGGGAGCAAACAGGAUUAGAUACCCUGGUAGUCCACGCCGUAAACGAUGAUCACUCGAUGUGUGCAAUAUAUCGUACGCGUCUAAGUAAAAGCAUUAAGUGAUCCACCUGGGGAGUACGUCGGCAACGAUGAAACUCAAAGGAAUUGACGGGGGCCCGCACAAGCGGAGGAACAUGUGGUUUAAUUCGAUGAUACGCGAGGAACCUUACCUGGGUUUGAACGCAUUACGACUGGUGCCGAAAGGUGCCUUCCCUUCGGGGCGUUUUGCGAGGUGCUGCAUGGUUGUCGUCAGCUCGUGCCGUGAGGUGUCGGAUUAAGUUCCAUAACGAGCGCAACCCUUAUCAUUAGUUGCCAUCGGGUAAUGCCGGGGACUCUAAUGAAACUGCCGGUGUAAACCGUGAGGAAGGUGGGGAUGACGUCAAAUCAGCACGGCCCUUACAUCCAGGGCUACACACGUGUUACAAUGGCCAGCACAAAGGGCAGCUACACCGCGAGGUGAUGCUAAUCUCCAAAGCUGGUCUCAGUUCGGAUCGAAGUCUGCAACCCGACUUCGUGAAGCUGGAUUCGCUAGUAAUCGCGCAUCAGCCAUGGCGCGGUGAAUACGUUCCCGGGCCUUGUACACACCGCCCGUCAAGCCAUGGGAGCCGGGGGUACCUAAAGUACGUAACCGCAAGGAGCGUCCUAGGGUAAAACUGGUGACUGGGGCUAAGUCGUAACAAGGUA